GACGAACGCUGGCGGCGUGCCUAAUACAUGCAAGUUGAGCGCUGAAGGUUGGUACUUGUACCAACUGGAUGAGCAGCGAACGGGUGAGUAACGCGUGGGGAAUCUGCCUUUGAGCGGGGGACAACAUUUGGAAACGAAUGCUAAUACCGCAUAAAAACUUUAAACACAAGUUUUAAGUUUGAAAGAUGCAAUUGCAUCACUCAAAGAUGAUCCCGCGUUGUAUUAGCUAGUUGGUGAGGUAAAGGCUCACCAAGGCGAUGAUACAUAGCCGACCUGAGAGGGUGAUCGGCCACAUUGGGACUGAGACACGGCCCAAACUCCUACGGGAGGCAGCAGUAGGGAAUCUUCGGCAAGAGACGAAAGUCUGACCGAGCAACGCCGCGUGAGUGAAGAAGGUUUUCGGAUCGGAAAACUCUGUUGGUAGAGAAGAACGUUGGUGAGAGUGGAAAGCUCAUCAAGUGACGGUAACUACCCAGAAAGGGACGGCUAACUACGUG
rnacentral:rRNA from 1 species